rnacentral:misc_RNA from 1 species
UUGUUCCGAAGGGGCUAGUUUUCUAUGGACCAUAAUGUACUAUGACUGGCUGUCUUGAAUUCCAAAAGGAUUAGUCUUUUAUGGAUCAUAAAAUGGACAUAGAUCAUAAUGUACUGUGACAGCCAUAAAUUCUAAAGGGAUUAGUCUUCUAUAUAUCACAAAACAGACAUAGAGAGUACCACAAAUCAGACAUAGAGAGUUGAACCGUUG